UACGUAGGGUGCAAGCGUUGUCCGGAAUUAUUGGGCGUAAAGAGCUCGUAGGCGGUUUGUCGCGUCUGCUGUGAAAACUCGGGGCUUAACCCCGGGCCUGCAGUGGGUACGGGCAGACUAGAGGGCGGUAGGGGAGACUGGAAUUCCUGGUGUAGCGGUGAAAUGCGCAGAUAUCAGGAGGAACACCGGUGGCGAAGGCGGGUCUCUGGGCCGUAACUGACGCUGAGGAGCGAAAGCGUGGGGAGCGAACAGG
rnacentral:rRNA from 1 species